ACAUGUGUAUACAUGUCUUCAACGAUAGAGGGCAGUAAUGCGGAAGUGAAAAUUGCUACCUACACAAUGCAUUACAAUGUAUAUGCACAGCACACAUGCAUGUGUUAUGCACGGUGUGCGAUUGCAGUCCUCGUACGACCGAGAUUCAAUGAAUCGCGAGGUCAUUUUCGUGAUAAAAGGCAGUCAUUGGUCCUGACAAUGCUCUAAAACGACAAUAACAAUACUUAAACCAAACAUGCUUGAAGAUGUAGGAGAUCCUCGCUAUCCAUCCACCUUUGCAGCUUCUUUUGCCUCACAACUACCUCUGUCACAAGUCAACACCGUGCCUGAUUCUGGUGCAGCUUUCAGCACUGGGGACACUUCGCCUCAAUUGAAGCUGUUAUUCAACCCUUAGACACAACCACUUGCCUGCUAAUUACCUGCUAUGAAAGAAAUUACAUAUUUUGAGCUACUAGCAAAGGAACAACUUCAACACUGCAUCAAAUGGCUCGACCAAAGUUAUCAGUGGAGCAAUAUUCACCAGGUUUUGCAAAAAACAAAACAGCACAUUCCAAAGAAUGGUGAACUCCAGUUGAAAAAACAUGCCAUUCUGAAAUAACCCUGGUCAUUUCAGACAUCUUGCGGAGAAUUAAAAGGUGCAAGAACAGUCAGUGAUUUAGAUACAUUUUACCAUCAGGAGCAUUCACUGCAUUGCACAGUAUGUAACUGAAUAGUUGGAGAGAAACUGGACUCUGUGUAACUAUACUAGACAUGACAAGUACUAGUAAAGGACAAGGAAUUUUACUCACGUGAGCAGUUCAAAACCGAAUCCAAGUAAGUGUUCCUGAAGUGUAUCCAACCAGCCCUUCAAAUGCUGCACCUAGACCACAAGGCCAUCCAAAACUGCACCACUCCGACAAUUCUGGGAGUUAUAUUACACUUUACAGUCAGAUCUCAAAUGGAAUUUCCAAGUGUUUGGUAUGAUAUCAAGUGCCGGCAAGCGACUAUACAUUUACGACAUCUUGGAGUAUCAUGUGAAUAUUUAGCAGACAUCUUCUCGACAUAUAUCCGAUCUUUGCUAGAAUACGCUUCUCCAGUUUGGUCCACAUCAAUUUCACGAACAGUUAUGUUGCAGUCUGAAGAAAGUGCAGAAACGUGUCUGAUGUAUUAGCCUUGGAUAAGAACAGUUGUAUGAAACCACUCCUUUCUCUCCAGAGUCUAACUUCUUGCCGUCUUGCCCUUCUUGAAUCCUUUUCUCUCAAACUGUUUAAGUCAUCACGAGAUCGAAUUAUGUUCUACCGCCAACUCGUCGCCAAACCUCUUGCCAUGAACUCUGAAACUCUCUACACAUAACUAUACCCUAUUGUAGAACUGAGAGACACUGCACUUCAAUUAUUCCCUAUAUCGUACGACUCCUUAACAACCAACUGUGUCUUUGUCAUGUUUGUAUUUAUUUAUUUUUGCUUACCAUAUUAAUGUUUUUCAUUCUUCUCUUUUCCAUUCUUCAUUUUUCCAUCCUCCCCUCUUAUGUACUUUUUCUCCUUCUCUCUAAAUCACCAAAGUAAUUACAUGCAUUAUGAUUAUUGUUACAAUUUUGAUUAAUUACAAAAGAGUCAUCUCAGAAUGAA